GGCCGGACAAUGGAUAUUCGACUUACCAUCAUUAUCCUAUUCGAAUACGUCGGACAGUACUCAACUAUCAGACUCUACGGAAUGAUCGUGUCGACAUGCUAUGCCCGACCAAGGGUCGGACAACAGAUAUUCGACUUGUCAUCGUUAUCCUAUCUGAAUACAUCGGACACUACUCAACUAUCAGAUUCUACGGAAUGAUCGUG
rnacentral:lncRNA from 1 species